GGAAAGACUCUUUACAUUGCGUCACUUUUGAGUGGCCAAGGUAUGGUAUAUGCAAUUGACAUAAAUGAAGGGCGGUUGAGAAUCCUCAAAGAAAUGGCUAAGUUGCACCAAGUAGAUGGUGUCAUCACCACUAUCCAUGCUGAUAUGCGUAGUUAUACUGACAAUAAUACUAUGAAGUGUGAUAAAGUUCUGCUGGAUGCUCCAUGUUCUGGACUGCGUGUUCUCCCCAAGGU